rnacentral:rRNA from 1 species
AUUGAACGCUGGCGGCAGGCCUAACACAUGCAAGUCGAGCGGCAGCGGGAAAGUAGCUUGCUACUUUUGCCGGCGAGCGGCGGACGGGUGAGUAAUGCCUGGGAAAUUGCCCAGUCGAGGGGGAUAACAGUUGGAAACGACUGCUAAUACCGCAUACGCCCUACGGGGGAAAGCAGGGGACUUUCGGGCCUUGCGCGAUUGGAUAUGCCCAGGUGGGAUUAGCUAGUUGGUGAGGUAAUGGCUCACCAAGGCGACGAUCCCUAGCUGGUCUGAGAGGAUGAUCAGCCACACUGGAACUGAGACCCGGUCCAGACUCCUACGGGAGUCAGCAGUGGGGAAUAUUGCACAAUGGGGGAAACCCUGAUGCAGCCAUGCCGCGUGUGUGAAGAAGGCCUUCGGGUUGUAAAGCACUUUCAGCGAGGAGGAAAGGUUGAUGCCUAAUACGUAUCAACUGUGACGUUACUCGCAGAAGAAGCACCGGCUAACUCCGUGCCAGCAGCCGCGGUAAAAC